GUGUGGAUACAAGAGCUGGGCUA
rnacentral:siRNA from 1 species